GGGGGAAUACUCAAGCGGCCAACGAGGCCAGACUGUAAAUCUGGCGGCCACGCCUUCGCAGGUUCGAAUCCUGCUUCCCCCACCA
rnacentral:tRNA from 1 species